UAUCAGUGGCUACCCGGACAUCGAAAUC
rnacentral:sRNA from 1 species